GGAGACGCACACUGCAGGUCCAAGGAGUUUCGCACAAAUUCGAAAUGAAAUGACGAAGGAGGCUGAUGGUACUGCACCAUCGGAUGCAGAAGUUUUUGUCAAAACUCGUAAGCGAAAUCCUGGCCGCGAGUACAAGACUGAUACCAAAAAAAUCAAAGAGAAAGUUGACGAUAUCGAAAAACAAAUCAAAAUAUCAGGAGAUGGCACUGAUGAGCUACUACUUUCUGGUGGCAAGAAGCAUGGGAAGACUUGGAUUUACGGGAGGUGUCCAAAUGCAGCCAAAGUCCCUCGCAGUACAAGUUCAGGGAAUAGUUACG